UUNUNGGGGNCGGCUCCAUGCGGAAUAAAUAGCCGCAGGUAUUUUCACUGGUGCUAAGGUAGCAUAAUCAUUAGCCUUUUAAUUAAAGGCUAGAAUGAAUGAUUUAACUAUUUAAUUUCUUUUUUUUUAAAAAAUUACUAAAUUUUAACUAAGAAUAAAAAUGUUCUUAUUCCAAAAAAAGACGACAAGACCCUAUUGAACUUUACUCAAGUUUAGCUGGGGAAGCUAAUUAAAAAUAAUUUUAAUUUAAUAAAAAAAAAAAAACCAUUUUAAAUGAUUUAACAAGUUACCAUAGGGAUAACAGCGUAAUUCUUUUUAAAAGCUCUUAUCUAAAAAAGAGUUUACGACCUCGAUGUUGAAUUAACUAUACUUUAUAACGCACCCGUAUUAAAAGGGGGUCUGUUCGACCCUUAAAUAGUUACAUGAUCUGAGUUCAAACCGGA
rnacentral:rRNA from 1 species